AGGAGAAGCAUUAUUUCCUGUUUGGGGUUCUCUGUGGGAUGGCCCAGUACAACAACAACAUGGUGCACUUCCCCUUCACCAUGGCAUUCUUCAAGAAGCUGGUGAACAUCAAGACCUCUUUAGAGGACUUGAGAGAGUUUAGCCCCAUUGAAGCAGGGACUUUGCAGUACAUCUUGGAUUAUCCUGAUGAUGAUGUCGAAAAUAUGGACAUGACUUUCUCAGUGAUGUGGGGUGACAUAGCGGUUGGACCUCGUCACAAGUGCUAACAAGCAAGAUUAUAGCAAUAUUUACAACUGACAAAAUACAAGGAAGGAGUUUGUUGACACCUAUGUGAACUACAUCUUCAACCAGUCAAUAGAGAAGGUGUUUGAAGAGUUCAGGAAAGGCUUCUUCAAAGUGUGUGACAUGGACGUGGUGGAGUUCUUACCAGCCAGAGGAACUGAGGGGAGUGAUGGUGGGGAAGGAGAACGUCGACUGGGAAACGCUGAAACAGCUUCCCAUAUACCCCUUCAAAGAGACACUACAGAGCCAGCUUAUAGAGCCACAACAGAGGCUUCUGGAAUGAAUAAGGGUGUAUAAUGUUGCUGCUGUAUUUUACACACCUCUCCUGUGUUCAUCUUUUCAUUGUUCCAUAGUUGUG